GAGCUCUGUGACCUGGGGGUGUCCUGGGCCGGGGAGAAGGGGAAGGAGACCUACAGCUCCACACCCAGAGCAGAGCCCACCGCCUGAGGUCACAGAGCAGCGUCAGGGCUGGAGGGAGUGGAGGCCCAGCCAGGACCCUCCUGGGGAAAGGCAGCUCAGGCCCAGCACUGCUCAUUUGGCACAGAGCUCACGGGAAGGGCACAGUGUACACAGCUCAGUGCCAGGAACCGCAAGGCAGAGGUGCUGCUGCCUCCCCGUGGCUUCGCGUGGCCGGCACCUCACACUGCAUGGAGCAUAGGGACAGCAGGGAAGGCCGGGUGCUGAGGCCUCAGCGUCCAGCAGAGGCACGGACAUUGCGGGCCUGACUGGUGGGGCCGAUACGGGGACCUGGGCCGAGCCACUCCCGUGGGCUCUGACCCCUGGCUUUCCUUCCUCCAGGGUCUGCAGGACAGGGGUCCCAAGUGCAAGCAGCAGCCAUGCGCUCUGGGCCCUCGGCCCCACUCCGCCUCUUCCUCAGGGUGCUCGGGGCCUUCCUGCUCCUGGCCCCCUCCCUGCAGGCUCAGCAUACAAGGUGGGACAGCCCCGCCUGCACGGAGGGCGUGGUGUCCGUGUCCAGGGGCGGCCGGGCCGUGAUGGCCUGCAACAGCUCCAACGCCUUCACCCACAUCGAGAUCUGGCUGAGUGCCCACGGCCAGCCCAGGCUCAUCUUCAGAGAGGACACCCCGGGAAGCUUCUCCCGGGAAGGGUGGCAGCUGUGGGUUCGAGGGGGCCGGGCUGAGCUGGUCAUCCAGGCUGCCCAGGGCGCCCACGCAGGGCAGUACCGCUGGCAUCUUCGGGGACUGCAGAGAUAUGACAGAGUCACUGUGCUGACUGUCUCAGGUGAGGACUGGGGGAGGGGACCGCGGGGAGGAGGAGGGGCCCAAGCGUCCCGGGGCAGGCUGAGGGAGAGGGUCCCUCCUGCCUGGGCCCUGGCUUCCCCCCACCACGGAGCAGCCCAGGGACCCUCCCGGCCUCAAAGCCCACUGCCCUCCCCCUUUUCCUUCCUCUGCCUGAGCCUCAGGUGGUAGUGGCUGCAAUCUGGGGCCUGGGGGUCCCAAGGAAGCCCCCCUGGACUCCCGCUGCCCGGAGCUCGGCAUGUGCCUCGGCUAGUCCCCAGCCUGACAGUGGCGUCUCUCCCGCAGAGCCCCAGGGCCCGGAGGAGGAGCCAGGUCCAGUGCUGACCGUGUCUCCCCUGAGUGUUUCGCCCCUGCCGCCAGGUACAGGCCCCCCUGGGGGCUCCUCAGGGCUUGGUGGUCCUGCUGCCACUGCCCAGAGCCCUUCCCGCCUGGCGCCCUUCAGCCCUGCCUGCCAGGCCUCCGCCGUUGUCAUUAGGGGGUGUGGGGGCUUUCAGGGCCCAGGGUGAGUGGCUGGAGAGAAGGGUGCUGCCGAGGAGGCCCACCUACCCUUCCACUGUAGUGGUGUCGCCUUGGAUCCAGAAGCACCGGACCCCAGUGGGCAUGGCCGCAGCUGUUCUCUUUCUUGUCCUGGGCAUUGCUGGGAUCAUUAUGCUCAUCCAGUGCCGGCUCAGAAAUUCCCGGAGGCCCCUCCAGGUAGGGGGUCCUGUGCCUGCUCGAGGGCAGGUGAGGUGCAGCCACCCUGGAGGAGAGAGGGUCGUAGCAGGGUCUCCUUGGGCCCAGAUCUGACAGUCUGCCCUACCUGGGUCCUCCGUCCUCAUCAGGAAGCCCCAAGGGUCCCCCUGUCUCAGCCCUCACCUCAUCCCCAAGACAGCCUGGAGGCUGGCACGGCAGUGUGGGCUUCUGCCUCCUCCCAAGGCUCCCGGGAAUUUGCAUCAGAAACAAAACAUGUUGUAUCUGAGCCCAGGGCGCCUCUGACUGGGGACCCCUGUGAAAUGGGUUCAACCCCUCUGGGCCUGGCUGGGUAAAGGGAAGGUCCGAUGUACAUCUGUGUGUGCAUGAGUGUGUGUGCAGGCCGAGUGUGCCGAGCUGUGAGGGGUUUGUGUGUGAGCUGCUGGCCUGUACCCGAGUGUCUGCCCAGUGGAGUCUGAGCUUGGCCCCUGCCUCCCCCCGCAGGUGAGAUCAGAAUCCUGAGCUAGAGUGCAGCAGACCUGAGCCUCAGAGGAGUCCCAAGGAAGGAAAUGGUCAGUCUUCAGCCCCAGUGUCUCUUCUGGGUCUCCUGCAGAGGUGUGCCGUGGCGUCAGGGCUUCGUGCCCCCCACAGGGUAUUAAAGGUGACCUUGACCUGAUCUUCAGGUGCAUCCACACUCUUGACUAUUUUGAGCAAGAAGUGACAGAUUUCAGGAGCCCCAGUCACAGGGAGACCCCAGAGGUUGUGCCCAGGGUGUGGUGAGUGCCAGGUGGGAGCUGAUGGAUGGGCCUGGCCUGUGCUGGCCAAACCCAGCAUUGUGAGGCCGAGGGCACCAGGCAGUGUCCCGGGGGGCUUCAGCCUCGUGGUGCCACAGUGAGUGGAGGAUUCCCACUGAGCCCCAGGAAACCUUCUUCUCCCCUUCGCCUGGGACUGUGGAGGGACAUGGUUCGGCCCCCGGCUGUCACGCCCCUCCUCUUUGCUUCCCUUUGCUCCCCGAGGCCCCCGAGGAGGAACUGGGCCAGCUGGUCUCGGCGUCCUCCCCACCCUCGGGUCACCUCACAGCCACUCUGACAGGAGAAGCAGGCGGCUGCUAGCGGCGGCUCCCGUUCCCGUUCUGAAGAAGGAAGCCAUCCUGAUGUGGCAGGGGUCAGGGAAGGCUCUGGGCCCACUGUUUCCAUCCCUGACCUCCCCAGACGCCAGUAACCCACAGCUACACAGCGAGCUCUCCUGCAGAUUUCCCGGGUCAGCCUUGCCAUUUACCAAAUAGCCAGUCUCCAGUGACCCCGGACACCCUGCACCUGCUCAGGGAGAUGUCGGGCCUGCUUGAAUUUAAACCGAGCAGUAGGAAUGAGGUUCGGGUUUAGACCGGUCCCAGGCCUGCAGCUGCUGUAUGACUGGCAUGCCCUUCACACUCUCUUGGGUCGAUUGUGGAGGGCUCACUCUGGGUCCCUACCUCCCGUUUUGGAGGCACAGGUCCUGUUCAAGUAAACCCUCUCUUAAAUGGUCUUGUAAAUCUGCCCAUUACUUAUUUCCAGGGUGGUGUGGGCUCAGAAAAUCCUGUAAAUCUACUUGGGGUUCCUGUCCUGAGUCAUGUGGACAGAGUGGUGGAUUUAAAAAAAAGAACUGUAAACAUAAGGGACUGUUCCACCUGAAGAGCUCCAGAGACCAGGGACUGGCAGAGCUGACCCACAGUUUCUGGCACAAGAACAGCACCCAGCCUUAACUUCAGGGCCACUAGCAGAGCUGCACUUUGCCGAUUUGUGAUUUCUACCCGAGUUGAGUAAAGGAACUCUCAGGGGAUUGGUGAUGCCACCCUGUUCUCAAGAGCCAGUGUUGGAAUGUCCUCAGAUGCAGAAAAAGCUUCUUGUGGGGUUUUGGUUUGGCACUAAAACAAAUGUGAUGGUUUGUUAAUUGGUUCAUUUGGCUAAAGGUUAAUGGAGGUGCUUCAGAGUGCAGAAUGUUACAUGUCUAGAAAAAAUUCAGUUUUUCAUUCAUGUGCAGAAGAAAACACUCAAGACAUAAUUGCAAUUAAAAAAAGAAGCAGAGGAAACACCUGUG
rnacentral:lncRNA from 1 species